rnacentral:rRNA from 1 species
UACGUAGGUGGCAAGCGUUGUCCGGAAUUACUGGGCGUAAAGCGCGUGUAGGUGGUGGGACAAGUCUGCUGUGAAAGCGCCUGGCUUAACCGGGCGAGGUCGGCGGAAACUGUCCGACUAGAGGACGGUAGAGGGGGGUGGAAUUCCCGGUGUAGUGGUGAAAUGCGUAGAGAUCGGGAGGAACACCUGUGGCGAAGGCGGCCCCCUGGGCCGGCCCUGACACUGAGACGCGAAGGCGUGGGGAGCGAACGGG